rnacentral:rRNA from 1 species
CCUACGGGAGGCAGCAGUGGGGAAUAUUGCACAAUGGGGGAAACCCUGAUGCAGCGACGCCGCGUGAGUGAAGAAGUAUUUCGGUAUGUAAAGCUCUAUCAGCAGGGAAGAAAUAGCGACCUUUGGGUCGCCAGACGGUACCUGAUUAAGAAGCCCCGGCUAACUACGUGCCAGCAGCCGCGGUAAUACGUAGGGGGCAAGCGUUAUCCGGAUUUACUGGGUGUAAAGGGAGCGUAGACGGCAGCGCAAGUCUGAAGUGAAAUGCCGGGGCUUAACCCCGGAACUGCUUUGGAAACUGUGCAGCUAGAGUGCAGGAGAGGUAAGUGGAAUUCCUAGUGUAGCGGUGAAAUGCGUAGAUAUUAGGAGGAACACCAGUGGCGAAGGCGGCUUACUGGACUGUAACUGACGCUGAGGAACGAAAGCCAGGGUAGCAAAUGGGAUUAGAUACCCGGGUAGUC